UUAUCCAACUUUCACCAUUCAUCUUUCUUUGCUUUCUCUAAGAACGAUUUCAAGGACGUUAUCCUCAUUCCUCCCCCUAAAAAAGUGGUCAUCUAUUUUUCUUGGCGUCCUCGGAGUGGCGACCAGAGAGACCCCUUUUCCCCGAGUUGAGAGGAGGGAGGAGGAGGACCGAAGAGGGCGGAGUGGGGGAGUUUGACCUCUCACAAAUUUUCUCCUCAGUCCUUCUCCAGCGUCCGGUCGAGCCACAUCGCUCCUUCAACUUUUUCCGAUAAGUCCCCACCACUUCAGAUGAUAUCCAAAAUAAUCGCCGAGUCGCAAGGGAUCAUCCGCGAGAAGAGGACAAAGUUCACCCAAAUUCCGUUCAACGAUGACGACGCCGACGCCAGUGGCACCCACGACCCCCUCUCAGUUGGAUGAGGAUCUCUCCCACGUGCAAAAUUUAUCGUUUGUGUCGUCCCAAAAAAUCGACAAGGACAAGGUAAGCGCCCUUUUGAAGAACUUGUGCGGUCUGGACGCCAUCCGGGAAAAGAGGAUGAUGAAGUGGAUUAGAUACUACAUAUACAUACACAUUGCAAAAGACAAAAAUUUCCUGCAUAUUUCAUAAUUUCAUAAGUAUCUACUUUUUAUUUUACAAAAUUCAGAACAAAUUAAAUUAAUAAAUUAAUCCUUAAUUUAAUUUAAUUCAGAGUUGUGAAAUAUUAAAUUAAUAAAGCUUGUUCCAACGGAAAAUAAAUCAGAAUUUGACAUGAAAA